GGAUGGGUGGCCGAGCGGUCGAAGGCGCACGCCUGGAAAGUGUGUAUACGGCAAAACCGUAUCGUGGGUUCGAAUCCCACCCCUUCCGCCA
rnacentral:tRNA from 1 species